CGAUCCUCGGCUACACUCUGAAAUCACCCACUGCUCCAUGGUGUAUUUCAAUUUUUGCCCGAGGUAGAUAAAGCCUAGUUCCACUACUCACCGCCAUGUGUCUGAUAUCAAAUUGGUCAUAGCGGUCCAUUGAUCGGAUCAACAU
rnacentral:snoRNA from 1 species